rnacentral:rRNA from 1 species
UUAUAUGAGAGUUUGAUCCUGGCUCAGGACGAACGCUGGCGGCGUGCCUAAUACAUGCAAGUAGAACGCAGAGGUCAGGUGCUUGCACUGGACUGAUGAGUUGCGAACGGGUGAGUAACGCGUAGGUAACCUACCUGAUAGCGGGGGAUAACUAUUGGAAACGAUAGCUAAUACCGCAUAAAAGCCAAUGACCCAUGUCAUUGGCUUGAAAGAAGCAAACGCUUCACUAUGAGAUGGACCUGCGUUGUAUUAGCUAGUUGGUGAGGUAACGGCUCACCAAGGCAACGAUACAUAGCCGACCUGAGAGGGUGAUCGGCCACACUGGGACUGAGACACGGCCCAGACUCCUACGGGAGG